CGGCAUUCCACUACAAGACUUUGAAGUAGUAACCCAUAUAACUUUUCACUAUUAACAGAAGCAUCUGCACGAAAUUACCCUUGUUAUGCAUCAACCAACUAAUGCCUUUGACUGGUGGCCCAGCUUACCAAGUUUAUCAAACAUGGAGGGAACAUCAAAAAUCAACCCUAAGGUAAUUCUGUUAUAAAAAGGUAUACACCUUCAGAACAGUAAUUGGACAUGGUAUCGGCAGUGGUCUGCCCAUUCUCUUUGCUGUUUGUACCAAUAGCACUCCAGCAAUCCAAAUUGUGUCUAUUUAGUUCUACCAGUCUUUCCAAUCGCCAAAUUCUUCAUAUCCGCCAACCUUCAAUAACUGAACAAUGUGAAUAUACAUGCAACUUGUGCAAUGAACGAUAUAUUCCCAAAAUGUCAAUUUCCCAUUUGAACAAUCACAAAGUCCAAAAGCUUAAGCUGAUAGAGAAGUGUGUAUUACGAUGUAAG
rnacentral:misc_RNA from 1 species